UACAGAGGUCUCAAGCGUUGUUCGGAUUCAUUGGGCGUAAAGGGUGCGUAGGUGGCGCGCUAAGUCAGGUGUGAAAUUUCGGAGCUUAACUCCGAAACUGCAUUUGAUACUGGCGUGCUUGAGGACUGGAGAGGAGACUGGAAUUCAUGGUGUAGCAGUGAAAUGCGUAGAGAUCGUGAGGAAGACCAGUGGCGAAGGCGGGUCUCUGGACAGUUCCUGACACUGAGACACGAAGGCCAGGGGAGCAAACGGG
rnacentral:rRNA from 1 species